rnacentral:tRNA from 1 species
GGGUGUUGCUUAAUGGUAGAGCCCCAGCCUUCCAAGCUGGUUACGUGGGUUCGAUUCCCAUCACCC